rnacentral:tRNA from 1 species
AUUUAAAUAGUUUAAUAAAAAUAUUGAUUUGUGGAAUCAAAGUUGUAUAAAUUUAUAUUUUAAAUA